rnacentral:tRNA from 1 species
GCUGCUGUAGCUCAGUCGGUAGAGCACUUCCUUGGUAAGGAAGAGGUCGCUAGUUCGAAUCUAGUCAGUAGCACCA